UGGUUCUGGCAUCGAUGAAGAACGCAGCGAAAUGCGAUAAGUAAUGUGAAUUGCAGAAUUCAGUGAAUCAUCGAAUCUUUGAACGCACAUUGCGCCCCUCGGUAUUCCGGGGGGCAUGCCUGUUCGAGCGUCAUUACAACCCUCAAGCUCGGCUUGGUCUUGGGCGUCACCGGUCCCUGGUGUGCUCUAAAAUCAGUGGCGGCGCCAUCUGGCUCUAAGCGUAGUACAUACUCCCGCUAUAGACGCCCGGUGCAUGCCAGCCAGCAACCCCCAACUUAUUAAGGUUGACCUCGGAUCAGGUAGGGAUACCCGCUGA
rnacentral:misc_RNA from 1 species